UAACGGCGAGUGAAGCGGCAACAGCUCAAAUUUGAAAUCUAGCCCCUUCCGCGGGGCCCGAGUUGUAAUUUGCAGAGGAUGCUUUUGGCGAGGUGCCUUCCGAGUUCCCUGGAACGGGACGCCGCAGAGGGUGAGAGCCCCGUACGGUCCGGUGCCGAGCCUGCCUGUAAAGCUCCCUCGACGAGUCGAGUAGUUUGGGAAUGCUGCUCAAAACGGGAGGUAAACGCCUUCUAAAGCUAAAUACUGGCCAGAGACCGAUAGCGCACAAGUAGAGUGAUCGAAAGAUGAAAAGCACUUUGGAAAGAGAGUUAAAAAGCACGUGAAAUUGUUGAAAGGGAAGCGCUUGUGGCCAGACCUGCGCGCGGCAGUUCAGCCGUCCCCUCAGGGCGGUGCACUCUGCCAGCGCAGGCCAGCAUCGGUUUCCGGUUGGGGACAAACGCGGCGGGAACGUGGCUCUUCGGAGUGUUAUAGCCCGCCGCCACGCCCUUCCGGGGACCGAGGUCCGCGCCCUGGGGCAAGGAUGCUGGCGUAAUGGCCACCAGCGACCCGUCUUGAAACACGGACCAAGGAGUCAUCCUAAUAUGCGAGUGUUCGGGCGUCAAACCCCUACGCGAAAUGAAAGUGAACGGAGGUGAGAGCUCCGGCGCAUCAUCGACCGAUCCUGAUGUCUUCGGAUGGAUUUGAGUGGGAGCAUAUUGGGCUGGACCCGAAAGAAGGUGAACUAUGCUUGGAUAGGGUAAAGCCAGAGGAAACUCUGGUGGAGGCUCGCAGCGGUUCUGACGUGCAAAUCGAUCGUCAAAUCUGAGCAUGGGGGCGAAAGACUAAUCGAACCUUUUAGUAGCUGGUUUCCGCCGAAGUUUCCCUCAGGAUAGCAGUGCUGGUCUCAGUUUUAUGAGGUAAAGCGAAUGAUUAGGGACUCGGGGGCGCUAUUUAGCCUUCAUCCAUUCUCAAACUUUAAAUAUGUAAGAAGCCCUUGUUCCUUCGGUGAACGAGGGCA
rnacentral:rRNA from 1 species